rnacentral:rRNA from 1 species
CCGUUCCCGGGCCUUGUACACACCGCCCGUCACACCAUGGGAGUUGGUUUUACCCGAAGCCGGUGCGCCAACCGUAAGGAGGCAGCCGACCACGGUAAGGUCAGCGACUGGGGUG